GCCGAGGUAGCCAAGGUAGUCACGGCGGGAGUCUGAAAAACUUCAGAUAAGUGUGCAAUUCACUUCCUCGGCA
rfam:Microgenomates bacterium GW2011_GWC1_44_23 TW48_C0004, whole genome shotgun sequence.